rnacentral:rRNA from 1 species
GGACGCUCACCAGGGUUUCGGCCCCGGUGGGAGUGGCGGACGGGUGAGUAGCGCGUGGGAACCUGCCCUGUUGUGGGGGAUAACCGAGGGAAACUUCGGCUAAUACCGCAUACGCCGGGAGCGAUCCCGGGUAAAGAUUUAUCGCAGCAGGAGGGGCCCGCGUCGGAUUAGGUAGUUGGUGGGGUAACGGCCUACCAAGCCGGUGAUCCGUAGCUGGUCUGAGAGGAUGAUCAGCCACACUGGGACUGAGACACGGCCCAUACUCCUACGGGAGGCAGCAGUGGGGAAUAUUGGACAAUGGGCGCAAGCCUGAUCCAGCAAUGCCGCGUGAGUGAUGAAGGCCUUAGGGUUGUAAAGCUCUUUCGGCGGGGACGAUGAUGACGGUACCCGCAGAAGAAGCCCCGGCUAACUUCGUGCCAGCAGCCGCGGUAAU